GGUGAAUGCUGGCGGCGUGGAUAAGUCAUGCAAGUCAAGGGGGCCCGCAAGGGCAACCGGCAAACGAGGUAGUAACACGUAGGUAGACCCCCCAGAGUCGGGCAUAGCCAGCCGAAAGGUUGGGUAAUUCCCGAUAGUCCCGAAAGGGUAAAGGUUUCUCGCUCUGGGAGUUGCCUGCGUAGUAUCAGCUAGUUGGUAGGGUAAUGGCCUACCAAGGCUACGACGCUUAGGGGAGCUGAGAGGCUGACCCCCACCGAUGGAACUGCGACACGGUCCAUACUCCUACGGGAGGCUGCAGACGAGAAUAUUCCGCAAUGGGCGAAAGCCUGACGGAGCGACGCCGCGUGAUUGAUGAAGUGCUUCGGUACGUAAAGAUCUUUUAUCGGGGACGAAGUUUAUUGACGGUACCCGAUGAAUAAGGGGCUCCUAACUCUGUGCCAGCAGCCGCGGUAAU
rnacentral:rRNA from 1 species